AUACGUAGGGUGCAAACGUUAAUCGGAAUUACUGGGCGUAAAGCGUGCGCAGGCGGUUUUGUAAGACAGUGGUGAAAUCCCCGGGCUCAACCCGGGAACUGCAUUCCAAACUGGGAAUCUAAAGGGCGGGAGGGGAAAGGGGAAUUCCUAGGGUAGGGGGGAAAUGGGUAGAUAUUAGGAGGAACACCAGUGGCGAAGGGGGCUUUCUGGACUGUAACGGACGCUGAGGCAGGAAAGCGUGGGUAGCAAACAGGAUUAGAUACCCUGGUAGUCCACGCCGUAAACGAUGGGUACUAGGUGUAGGAGGUAUCGACCCCUUCUGUGCCGUCGUUAACACAAUAAGUACCCCGCCUGGGGAGUACGGUCGCAAGACUAAAACUCAAAGGAAUUGACGGGG
rnacentral:rRNA from 1 species